UGAUUGUCCAAUCGACUACUCAAGACCAUGUGAAAGUAUAUGUUCUGCUAAUGCAAUCUCCAACCAAGGAGUAACAACAGAGCGCUGCUAUGGUUGUGGACGUUGUUUUCCAGUUUGUCCAUAUGAUAAAAUAAAAGCAAUAUCAUAUGUAAGAGAUGCUGCUGCGACAUCUACACUUCUUGAGCGAGAUGAUGUUGAUGCUCUCGAGAUUCAUACAAAUGGAAGGUA